rnacentral:rRNA from 1 species
UACGAAGGGGGCUAGCGUUGCUCGGAAUCACUGGGCGUAAAGGGUGCGUAGGCGGGUCUUAAGUCAGGGGUGAAAUCCUGGAGCUCAACUCCAGAACUGCCUUUGAUACUGAAGAUCUUGAGUUCGGGAGAGGUGAGUGGAACUGCGAGUGUAGAGGUGAAAUUCGUAGAUAUUCGCAAGAACACCAGUGGCGAAAGGCGGCUCACUGGCCCGAUACUGACGCUGAGGCACGAAAGCGUGGGGAGCAAACAGGG